rnacentral:misc_RNA from 1 species
AACAUCUUAAUGCAAGAAUGAAAAAAGCUUAUACCAAUGUUUCAUAAAAGGGAAUUGUGUCUCCUACUGGCUAAAUCAUAUGGAAAAGUGGCUGGCUGAUGCAGGAUGUUAAGAUUUGGGCAGAGGAGGUGAUUUUGGGAAUUGCAAGUGUUGCUUGAAAAAAGCAAGUCUCAUACAAAACACUUAAAACACAAUAUUUUUCUGUGACAUAAAGUGCACCACAUGCCUGCCGUGGGCGGGGGCGACAUUACUUGAAACGCUGACUCAGACACUAACAUGCGUGCACAACUAAAAAUUUCAUGCGACUGAUGGGCAAUACAAUCAUGAAAACAUGUCUUGUUCUGCAAUUAAAUUACAUAUCAAAUCAUAAACAGGAAUAUAAAAGGUGAUCAAAUGGAACCUG